GGAGGUGACAACCUUGAACACUCUGCAGAUCAGAACUUCAAAAUCUCUGUUUGGUAUUUGUUGGGUUUUAACUUCAGUACCUGCGCGAGGAAACAAAUCCAUAGAGGCUUAAUUUAGCCAAGUCUCUUUCUUGCCAACUUCAAGAUUCUUGCUUCCUUUUACUUCCAAGCACUCUAGCUAGGGUAGAUAUUCAGUUUUUAUGAAGAUAAUUAUGGGAAAUAUGGUGAGAUUUUAAGGAAAUUUAAGCUUAAAAGGAGUAACAAUGGUGGAAAGCUUUGGAAAAGGAAGACCU
rnacentral:misc_RNA from 1 species